rnacentral:rRNA from 1 species
UACAGAGGGGGCAAGCGUUGUUCGGAAUUACUGGGCGUAAAGGGCGCGUAGGCGGCCUGCUAAGUCGAACGUGAAAUCCCCGGGCUCAACCCGGGAACUGCGUCCGAUACUGGUAGGCUUGAAUUCGGGAGAGGGAUGCGGAAUUCCAGGUGUAGCGGUGAAAUGCGUAGAUAUCUGGAGGAACACCGGUGGCGAAGGCGGCAUCCUGGACCGGUAUUGACGCUGAGGCGCGAAAGCCAGGGGAGCAAACGGG